rnacentral:rRNA from 1 species
UAAUACGAAGGGGGCAAGCGUUGUUCGGAAUUACUGGGCGUAAAGGGCGCGUAGGCGGCUUACCAAGUCAGGCGUGAAAUUCCCGGGCUCAACCUGGGGGCUGCGCUUGAUACUGGUGAGCUUGAAUGCGGGAGAGGAUAGUGGAAUUCCCAGUGUAGAGGUGAAAUUCGUAGAUAUUGGGAAGAACACCGGUGGCGAAGGCGGCUAUCUGGCCCGUGAUUGACGCUGAGGCGCGAAAGCGUGGGGAGCAAACAGGA